rnacentral:lncRNA from 1 species
CACAGACUCAUUCCCCACCAUUUAAAACAUCAACAUGGAUAAUUAGAUAGGAAACAAAACAUGGUUUACGUAUGAAAGAGAAACAAAACACUUCCAGCUUAAUGAACUAGAAAUAAAAUCUUCCACUAUAAUUGCCACUAUUAUCUGAUGUGUUAGCACCAAGUUAAUCAAAGGGGCACUCCAGACAAAGGAAGUUAAUGAAUCAUGGUGCCAUCUGCACAUGCUUGAGAAGCCUGGUGCCUUGAAAUAGGAAAUACAACAAGGGUCCAUUACAGCAUCCAUCACGCUAUGUUCUAAUUACUUUUUAUAAAUUAUUUUCCCGACUACACUGUGAGCUUUGUUAGGACAAAAAAAAAAGUCUUUGUUGGCCGGGUGUGGUGGCUCACGCCUAUAAUCCCAGCACUUUGGGAGGCCGAGGCGGGUGGAACAUAAGGUCAGGAGUUCAAGACCAGCCUGGCCCAAAUGGUGAAACCCCAUCUCUACUAAAUAUACAAAAAUUAGCCGGGUGUGGUGGCGAGUGCCUUGUAGUCCCAGCUACUCAGGAGGCUGAGGCAGGAGAAUCACUUGAACC